UCACUCAUUUAGCCUUAGGCCUUUUAAAGAAUUUGGCCUAAAUAUUAUUUUGACCGCAAAAUGUUUUUAAAGGCCUAAAUCAAAAAUGUAAAAUUUGGAUGUGUACAGUGUUUACAGUGAUUAAUCAUCAUCCGAUGAAUAUAAUAUAACUUUCAGGAGUGUCUUUGACGAUAACAACUAUCAAUGUAGUUGUGGCAGUGUUCGAGGAUUCAUUAUCUUAUCUGCAUGAUGAGUUUUGUUGGUUUGGAAAGAAUUCUCAGAUUUACUUUUUGCUCCUGCCAGUGUACCUAUGUUUGUGCUACAAUAUAUGGACUUUCUGUCAAGUUGCAGGAAUCAUCUUCACGGUCAACAAGUUAUCCCAACCCUCCAACACUUAUUUUAAGAAACAGCUUAGAAGCGUGUUCUCAGUAGCUCUCUCGCUGGGCUGCACUUGGAUUACAGCCCCACUUUUAUACAUCGACAAUAAACAUAUGAAGGGGAUUGUCCAAAUGGUCUUCAUCCUAACCAACGGA